UACGUAGGGCGCAAGCGUUAUCCGGAAUUAUUGGGCGUAAAGAGCUCGUAGGCGGUUUGUCGCGUCUGCUGUGAAAACUCGGGGCUUAACUCCGGGCCUGCAGUGGGUACGGGCUGACUAGAGUGCGGUAGGGGAGACUGGAAUUCCUGGUGUAGCGGUGAAAUGCGCAGAUAUCAGGAGGAACACCGGUGGCGAAGGCGGGUCUCUGGGCCGUAACUGACGCUGAGGAGCGAAAGCGUGGGGAGCGAACAGG
rnacentral:rRNA from 1 species